rnacentral:lncRNA from 1 species
CAGAAGACUGGAGUGCGCAGCCAGCCACUGAGGACUGCUCAGCAGCUCCCACAGCACAGGCCACUGAGUGGGUUGGAGCCACCACUGAGUGGUCCUGAGCUGCUCUGCAGACACCUGAGCAAGGGGGUGGGGGUGGUGGAAGGAAAAUAAAGUCCCUAAAAUCUUAAAAAAAAAAAAAAAAAAAAAAAGGAAAGUGAAGGG